rnacentral:rRNA from 2 species
ACCUGACCCCAUGCCGAACUCAGAAGUGAAACGCCGUAGCGCCGAUGGUAGUGUGGGGUCUCCCCAUGCGAGAGUAGGGAACUGCCAGACA